rnacentral:rRNA from 1 species
AUUCCUACGGGAGGCAGCAGUAGGGAAUUUUCGGCAAUGGGCGAAAGCCUGACCGAGCAACGCCGCGUGAACGAAGAAGGUCUUCGGAUUGUAAAGUUCUGUUAUAGAGGAAGAAUGGUGUACGUAGGAAAUGGCGUACAAAUGACGGUACUCUGUGAGGAAGCCACGGCUAACUACGUGCCAGCAGCCGCGGUAAUACGUAGGUGACAAGCGUUGUCCGGAUUUACUGGGUGUAAAGGGCGCGUAGGCGGGAUAGCAAGUCAGUCGUGAAAUGCCGAGGCUUAACCUCGGAGCUGCGAUUGAAA